rnacentral:hammerhead_ribozyme from 1 species
AUCCUGCUGAAGAGUCCCAAAUAGGACGAAACACACGUACAUAU